rnacentral:lncRNA from 1 species
UCGCGUGAUCACGUGGUCGGCAACCAGGCGGAAGUCUCCGGCUGCUGUUUUGGGAUGAAGAACUUGCAAAGCUCUGUUGGAGAAAAGCGAAUUGCGAGUGACAUGGAAUGCAGUCUGGACAAGUGAGGGAGUUGAUCCUCAAAAAGCAAAGCAAAACAAAAUGUCAAACUUAUGCUCCUGAAAGAAGAUUUGAGAAAGAUCAGUUGCUUUUCAGUUCCCUGCACAGUGGCCUCUUUGGGAACACUGAAAGAGAUAAGACCACAGGAAAUCAUAUUGUCCUAUACUAUUAUAUAAAAUUAUGAUUCCAUCACCAUUUGUAAUUCAUGUAAUAUUCAAGUGACCAUUGGCCCGAAAAGUUAAAUUAACCCAUGUCUUUAAUUUCUUACCAUUUUAAGAGGACUUUUUACCUCCUUAUUUAAGUAGUACUGUUUGUACAUGGAAUCCCUCACCUUUCACCUCUUUUUCUUCCCUAUCACUUAGUAUUCUUAACUAAAUUGAUCAAGUGUUUUGACAUCAGUUAAAACUAGGAUCACUGCAAACAGGACAUGGGGUAGAAUAUAUGAGAUUUACUUCCCUCAGAAAUAUUCCUAAAGAGAAUAAGGACAGGUAUUCUCUGAUUGGGUCUGACCUAUGAAAUAAUUGAAUAUAGUUCUUGAAUUUAAAAGGGGAAAAAACCUAUUUAUGACCUCCAUUUAAGACCUUCAGACUCCUUGGAGGCUCUGCAUCAGCUUCUCUUUACACACUCUAAUUUGCAACAAUACCUUGAUUAAAGUUUUCCCAAAUGUCUUCUCUUCACCCCACAGUAUGACUACCAAGUAAACCAUCAUGGAUUACAUUCCAGUUAUUGUUUUACAAUCUUCAUUUAGCUAUAGGAUUUCUUCAGUUGGGAUACGUUUGUGUCAGCCAGUUUAGUUUCAGAAAAAGACAUUUUCUGAUCUUUCACCAAAAUGGUGGGUCUGAAUAAUUUGGAGGCUAAAGUUCAUGAAUUCACAAAACUGAACAUUUGUGAACAGAAAACUCUUCCCAUUUAAGAUUGACUGUAGCAUUGCACUAAAUUGUUUGUAUGUGAACUUUUUCUUCAUUGUACCUGAAAGCUUAAAUAACUGUUCUCAUUUUAGCAGUUCCUUACGUGAAACAUUUAUACUGGCUUUUCAGUUUGUGAACUUGUACUUUGUAGUAUCAUGUACUUAGUUACAUAAUAGUGCUCUCUUUCUUCUAGAUGAAUCUUUUUUUUUAAAUGUUUUAUAUUGGAGGAUAUAAAGUCACUUCUUUUAAUAUUAAUAUUCUGUUUUACACCUGAUAACUGCCAAACAAAAGAAAAGGAAAAACUCAAUGCAUAAAUUUUAAUAUACCAUAAGCAAAAUGACACCAAACCUUAAUAUGUCUAAACAGUUAAAUGUUUUACUGUCCAAAUGACUAUUUAAGCAACAAUGCCAAGAGAGAGGAAAAUCUAAAGAGACUAUUCAUGGAAAUUGGCUUAAAUUAAAAUAAUAAAUGACUAAAUAAAGCAAAUGAUGUGGCAUAUUUAGGCAUCAUACAGCCCUUAUAGGUUCAGUAGUAUUGGGUUCUUUUGGAGAAUACAGAAAUUGAGAAGAAAGAGCAUAUCUCAAACUUGCUAAUCCUAGUGAAAGCCUUAUUGUGAAGUAUACUACAUAAUUACAGCAUUCUUUCAAGAUAUUAAAAACACAUGUAUUUCAGUCCAACCAAAUGAAGUUAUAUUCGGGUUCACCUAAUUUUGAUUUGAAGUAUAGUUGAUUCACAAUAUUUUGUCAGUUUCAGGCCUACUGCCAAGUGAUUGUUAAUUUUUUUUCAGAUUAUUUUCCAUUAUAGGUUAUUACAAGAUACUGAAUAUAGUUUCCUGUGCAAUUAGUAAAUCCUUGUUGCUUAUCUAUUUUAUGUGUCAGAGUUUGUAUUUGUUAAUUCCAUACUCCUAGUUUAUCCCUCCACCUUCCCCUUUGAUAAACACUAGUUUAUUUUCUAUGUCUGUAAGUCUGUUUCAGUUUGAAUAUAAACUUGUUUGGGUUAUUUUUCAGAUACCACACACAAGUGAUAUCAUAAAACGUUUGUCUUUGACUUACUAAGUAUAAAAAUCUCUAGGUUCAUCUGUAUUGCUGAAAUGGUAAUAUUUUUAUGACCAAGUAAUAUUCCACUGUAAAUAUAUAUAUAUAUAUGUAUAUACACACCACAUUGCGACAUGUGAAAAUUCCCGGGCCAAGAUUGAACCCACGCCACAGCAGCGAUCCAGGCUGCUUCAGUGGCAAUGCCGGAUCCUUAACCUGAAGCACCACAAGACAACUCUGACAACAUCAUAAGCCAGUCAGCUGUUGAGAGGCACUUAGAUUGUUUCCAUGUCUUGGCUGUUAUAAAUAGUGCUGCUAUGAAUGUUGGAGUGCAUGUAUCUUUUCAAAUUAGAGUUUUUGUCUUUUCCAGAUAUAUGCCCAGGAAUGGGAUUGCUGGAUUCUAUGAUAGCUCUAUUUUUAGUUUUUUAAGGAAUCUCCAUACUGUUUUCCAUAGUUGCUGCACCAGUUUACAUUCCCAGCAGUGUAGGAGGGGUCCCUUUUAUCUUCACUCUCCAGCAUUUAUUAUUUGUAGACUUUCUGAUGAUAGCCAUUCUGAUCUAUGUGAGGUGAUACCUCAUUGUGGUUUGCUUUACAUUUCUCUAAUGAUUAGGGUUGUUAAGUAUCUUUUCAUGUGCCUGUUAAUCAUCUGUAUGCCUUCUUUGGAGAAAUGUCUGUCGAGGUCUUCUGCUCAUUUUUUUGAUUGGGUUGCUUGUUUUUUCAAUAAUUCAGUUGUAUGAGUUGUUUGUAUGUUUUGGAUAUUAACCCCUUGCUGAUUGCAUCACUUGCAGGUAUUUUCUCCCAUUCCAUAGGUUGUCUUUUUUUUCCAUUUGUUUAUAGUUUCCUUUGUUGUGCAAAAGCUUAUUAAUUUGUUAGGUCCUAUUUGUUUAUUUUUGCUUAUGUGGUAUCUCCUUUAAAACUUGUAACCUUAAUGAGGUGAGUAAUAUCCUCAGUUAAUUUGAAUUGGACACCGUCAUUUUCUCCCAGAAACCCUUCUCAAGAACAAGAGUCUGGAUUAAUGUUGGAUGGUUCUUCAAAUAAGGACAUAGUCAACAAGGGGGGGAAAAAAGUGUUUAAACAGGAAAAACAGAAAUUAAAAAAAAAAAAAAA